UUACGAUCACAUCACGUUGAAACACCGUUUCCCCUAGGAUCACCGAAGUUAAGGAACCUCCAGCCUGGUCUGUACCUAGAUGGGUGACCGGUUAAGAAUAGCAGGUGCU